GUUAAAAAUCAACCCCUGACUUAACUGCUUGUGUUAUCUAUAGAUUCCAGACAUUGUAUGGAAAAGCAUCGUGAAAAUCCGUCCUGUUCUGUUCCGUUCUGAUUACCAGUGCAUGCAGCCCCCAGUCAUGUACCCACUGCUUGCUCAAUCAUUCACGACCCUCUCACGCGGACACUCUUAGAGUUGUAAGCCCUUAAAAGGGACAGGGAUUGCUUACUUGGGAGCUCAGUUUUUUGAGACGUAACUCUGCCGACGCGCCUGGCCAAAUAAAGCCCUCUCCUUCCUCAACUCGGUGUCUGUGGCUCGUCCUGCUACAAUGCAUCUACCCAUACAGAUGGUGUCCGGAAUUUCAAAUAAUACUGAGUUAUGGGAAUUGCCACAGAAUGUAAACACCAUGAGAACACAGGCUUUGUCUGCCACAUUUAUUGCUGCAUUUGCAGCAUGUAGAAUGGUGACUGACAUAUAAGAAGUACCAAUUAAACAUUUGUGGAUGAGUCAAUGAAGAAACUCACUUAGAAUUGAGAAGAAUUUGCUAUUUGUUUUCUGUGAUACUGAGACCUGAGAAAGUUGAAAUGUACAACUUUAGUGCCAGAGGGCUAAGAACAUGACAAUCCAAUACAAACUAAAACUAAUAAAGAAAAUUGUAGCCUGAGUAUAUGUUUCUGGUACUCUCUUCCUCCCAUCUCAUUGCUUACUACAUUUUAGACAACUAACCACUAAAAUAACCCUGAUUGUUGGGGCUGGCAGAUGAGCUCAGAUACAGCUGUGAUUGUGAGUCUUCAGGAAGAAUGUGUACAUUUGGGACAUUGUUCUUUUUAACUACAUGGACAGUUAAAGAUCCAGCAAUUUGGACAUCAGCCAACUUCUCUUACACAUCAGGGUUUACAAGCAUUCAAUAAGCAGGCAUAGAUGCCCUCAGAGUUGAAAGGUGAACAUGUAAGAGUCCCUGAAAUUCCAAAUGAUUGCAGCAGUUGGUGUGUGGGGGACUGCAUUGAAAGGAACUUUUGUCAAUCCAGC
rnacentral:lncRNA from 10 species